CAGCCGCCGCGGUAAUACGGAGGGGGCUAGCGUUGUUCGGAAUUACUGGGCGUAAAGCGCACGUAGGCGGCUUGGUAAGUUAGAGGUGAAAGCCUGGAGCUCAACUCCAGAAUUGCCUUUAAGACUGCCGAGCUAGCAGGUGAGAGAGGUAAGUGGAAUUCCGAGUGUAGAGGUGAAAUUCGUAGAUAUUCGGAAGAACACCAGUGACGAAGGCGGCUUACUGGCUCAUACUGGACGCUGAGGUGCGAAAGCGUGGGGAGCAAACAGGAUUAGAUACCCCGGUAGUCCCUGUCUCUUAUAC
rnacentral:rRNA from 1 species